GACUCUCGGCAAUGGAUAUCUUGGCUCUUGCGUCGAUGAAGAACAUAGCUAAAUGCGAUACCUGGUGUGAAUUGCGGAAUCCUGCGAACCAUUGAGUUUUUGAAAGCAAGUUGUGCCCGAGGCCUUCUGGUUGAGGGCACGUAUGCUUGGGCAUCA